rnacentral:rRNA from 1 species
UACAUAGGGGGCAAGCGUUAUCCGGAAUUAUUGGGCGUAAAGGGUGCGUAGGCGGUCUAUUAAGUCUGAGGUGUAAGUGCAGGGCUCAACCCUGUGAUGCUUUAGAAACUGGUAGACUUGAGUGAGAUAGAGGCAAGUGGAAUUCCAUGUGUAGCGGUAAAAUGCGUAAAUAUAUGGAGGAACACCAGUGGCGAAGGCGGCUUGCUGGGUCUAUACUGACGCUGAGGCACGAAAGCGUGGGGAGCAAACAGG